rnacentral:rRNA from 1 species
ACCGUGGUAAUUCUAGAGCUAAUACAUGCUGAAAAUCCCGACUUCGGAAGGGAUGUAUUUAUUAGAUUAAAAACCAAUGCCUCUGGGCUUCUGGGUGAUUCAUGAUAACUUCUCGAAUCGCAUGGCCUUGCGCCGGCGAUGGUUCAUUCAAAUCUCUUCCCUAUCAACUUUCGAUGCGAAGGUCUUGUCUUCGCAUGGUUACAACGGGUCGGAGGGUUGGCUCGACCCCGGAGAAGGAGCCUGAGAAACGCUACUACAUCCAAGGAAGGCAGCAGGCGCGCAAAUUACCCAAUCCCGACACGGGGAGGUGACAAUAAAUACUGAUACAGGGCUCUUUUGGGUCUUGUAAUUGGAAUGAGUACAAUUUAAAUCCCUUCGAGGAACAAUUGGAGGGCAAGUCUGGUCCAGCAGCCGCGGUAAUUCCAGCUCCAAUAGCGUAUAUUAAAGUUGUUGUGGUUAAAAAGCUCGUAGUUGAACCUUGGGCCUGGUUGGCCGGUCCCCCUCACCGGGCGCACUGAUCCAGCCGGGCCUUUCCCUCUACGGAACCCAUGGCCUUCACUGGUCGUGGCGGGGAAGUAGGACUUUUACUUUGAAAAAAUUAGAGUGCUCCAGGCAGGCCUAUGCUCGAAUACAUUAGCAUGGAAUAAUGGAAUAGGACGCGUGGUUCUAUUUUGUUGGUUUCUAGGACCGCCGUAAUGAUUAAUAGGGACAGUCGGGGGCAUCAGAUUCAAUUGUCAGAGGUGAAAUUCUUGGAUCUAUUGAAGACUAACUACUGCGAAAGCAUUUGCCAAGGAUGUUUUCAUUGAUAAGGAACGAAAGUUAGGGGAUCGAAGACGAUCAGAUACCGUCGUAGUCUUAACUAUAAACUAUGCCGACUAGGGAUCGGACGAUGUUAUUUAUUGACUCGUUCGGCACCUUUCGAGAAAUCAAAGUGCUUGGGCUCCAGGGGAGUAUGGUCGCAAGGCUGAAACUUAAAGAAAUUGACGGAAGGGCACCACCAGGGGUGGAACCUGCGGUUUAAUUUGACUCAACACGGGGAAACUCACCAGGUGACACAGUGAGGAUUGACAGAUUGAGAGCUCUUUCUUGAUUCUGUGGGUGGUGGUGCAUGGCCGUUCUUAGUUGGUGGAGUGAUUUGUCUGCUUAAUUGCGAUAACGAACGAGACCUUAACCUGCUAAAUAGCCCGUACUGCUUUGGCAGUUCGCUGGCUUCUUAGAGGGACUAUCGGCUCAAGCCGAUGGAAGUUUGAGGCAAUAACAG